GAAAGGGGGACGGUGCAUAGGCUUAAUGAGCCUGAGACUGGUCCUGCUUCUGUAGAGGCAGGGGAUGAUCCAUGCAGGACUGUGGUGACAACAGGGUACAGAAUGGUUGGUUGGAGACUGUUUUCUGAAAGGGGCUAACCCACAUUGCUGGCUCUUCCAGUGAAGACCUCCAUUGAAACAGAGAAGACAAGACUUAACAUUUAGAAGAUACCCAGAUGCCCUGUGCCUCACCAGAUCUGGAUCCUCCACUCUCCACCCCACCAUCUCUUCCAUUAGCAUGGAUCCAUUGCGUUCUCCAGAGGGCAGCUGCUCUAUGUCAGUGGUUCUCAGCCAGAGGUACACAUACCCCUGGAGUCUAGCACCGAGGAGAAAUGUAAUGAAUGGAAGAUCAAAACAAAAAGACAGUUCAAAGAAACUCUUCAGUACAUUUAAAAUAAAUAAAUAAA